rnacentral:rRNA from 1 species
GACGAACGCUGGCGGCGUGCCUAACACAUGCAAGUCGAGCGAACAGACGAGGCGCUUGUGCCUUUCACGUUAGCGGCGGAGGGGAGAGAAACACGUGUAUAACCUCCCUAUAAGACGGGGAUAACUUCGGGAAACGGGCGCUAAUACCGGAGAAUAUACUGAACCGCAGGGUGGAAUGGAGAAAGUCGGCUUUGGGGGCACGUAUAGCUGGUUCUGCGCUGCAUUAGCUAGUUGGUAAGGUAACGGGUUACCAAGGCAACGAGGCGUAGCCGAGCGGUGAGGCGGGUCGCCCACACUGGAGCUGAGCCGCGGACCUGGCUCCUGCGGGAGGCCGCAGUCGGGAAUGGUCCGCAGAGGGCGAGAGCCUUGCAGAACGGCGGCGCGUGAGUGGUGAAAGUCUUCGGUUCGUGAAGCUCUGUUAUUGGUGGUAAACAGAUGUGGAAGUAGCUGUAGACGUCGUGACGGUACCGGGUCAAAAAGCCCCGGCUAACUACGUG